UACGUAAGGGGCUAGCGUUAUCCGGAAUUACUGGGCGUAAAGGGUGCGUAGGCGGUCUUUCAAGCCAGAAGUGAAAGGCUACGGCUCAACCGUAGUAAGCUUUUGGAACUGUAAGACUUGAGUGCAGGAGAGGAGAGUGGAAUUCCUAGUGUAGCGGUGAAAUGCGUAGAUAUUAGGAGGAACACCAGUAGCGAAGGCGGCUCUCUGGACUGUAACUGACGCUGAGGCACGAAAGCGUGGGGAGCAAACAGGAUUAGAUACCCGGGUAGUCCCUGA
rnacentral:rRNA from 1 species